rnacentral:lncRNA from 1 species
CUGUGGCCUGGCUGGUAACCACCUUGCCUUCUGGGACAGCCCCUUGCGUGUGCGGCACAGCGCUCCAUCCUGUAGCCAAGCGGCAUCUGCAGUUCUUCUGGAAGCAGAUUCGAUGCAUCGCAGACUUCUUUCCUUUGAAGCGUUCACCUAAAGAGUAACAAUAAGUGGUACUCAAGGUAAUCCCACAGAACGGAAAAAGGCAGAGAGGACCGAUAUUCAGACUAAGGGAAGUCUAGACGAAAUGUGGACUCAGAAUUGAGAGAGGUUGGAACUGGGAGUUGGAAAGACUGAAUUGCUUUGCCAGCUGCCAGAUUUACCAGUCUUCAUCCCUGUUCCUGUCGACUGACAUCAGGUGGGGUCCUUGCAGUAGGAGCUACGACUCGAACCAGGGGCACUGAUUUUCCCUGAUAUGGAAUUUGGAGAGGGGACUCCGGGGCCACUUGGCAGAAACUGGCGAUCUCCAUGGGGCUGUCAUUUUUAAGGGCAAGGAUGAACUGCUAAAAUUCUUUACCUGGAAGCUAAGUAUGCAUAUAAACAUAUGCAUUUGUAUUUGAUUUAUUUCUGACACCAAUAAAUGUAUUAGAAAUUUCUAAUGAGUUAAUGAUGCUAUACACUUAGGACUUAUUUAUUUCUUUAUACUUUGUAUCUUCUAGCACCAUGAUCAAUUUAUAGAAUAUAUUUCAUCAGACUCUCACAGAAUGUGAGAAUUGUUAAUACUUGUUGCUCCAUUAAAUCAACAGCGAUUCCAUUGAUACUAAGAAGCCAUCAUUUACAUAUAGGGAAAGGCACAGUUGUACCAGAUAUGUCCAACUUCACAGAAGGGUUGAAAGCAGAGACCCUCCUCUACAUGGAAGAGGGAAUGAGACUGUGAAUAAGUGUGGAAGGAAAUGCGCAGCCCACCCGUGCAUCUGCAGGUUGACCUGACUCGUUCACACAGUGUGUCCAGCUAAUGGAGACACCCACGCCUGUGACCAGACUGUCAAGAUGGUCUAAGCAUGGGCAUUGUCCCCAGGCAAGUGUGCUAAGUACCCUCCCUCUCCACCUACAGCUCCAUUGCUUCAAAAUUUUGCAAAGGCUGUAGUCAAAAAAGACUUAAGCAACCCUUAACCUCGUGUCCUCUGGAAUGAACAAAAUG